UCUUAGCCGUGCCUACUGGGUCACUGUGUCCUUAGCAGGAAAAAGAAAGAACUGGGGAAUAGCAGGCGAUUCUUUCCUUUCUAUAAGGCAGCUCCAUCUGCAGGGGAUGGGCGGCUCCUUGCUCAAGGGAGUGGAGCACAACCUCUCUCCAGUCCCUGGCUUCCUGUGACACUAUGCGAGCGCCAGGAGAGACAUCAGGAGUGGAAGACUUUGGGGAAGCGAACUUCACCAAUACUGUCUAGGCUGGGCCCAAGCUCAUGGCAAUCCUCCUGCCUCAGCCUCCUGAGUGCUGGGAUUACAGGUGCACACCACCACGCAUGGCUGAUAUUCUGGAAAAGGCUAAAAUACAGAGAUGGAAAACAUAUAAGAAGUCUUCAGAGGGAGCACAGCCCCGUGGACCCCAGGACUUCAAAUUUCUGGCCUUUAGACUGUGGGAGAAAAACUUCUGUUCUUUUAAUUCAGCAAGUUGGAAUUACCACGCAGCCUUGUAAACCAAAGGGAAGAUCAUGCUCAAGAUAUGACUGAGCACAUGGCUGGAGAGAAGGAGUCCUAUGUACUCGACCGGUGAAAUUUAACUUGCUGCUUUGACUAAGUAUCUGCUUCACUAAAUUCACUUUGCUGCUUUUCAGCUCUGCAUUUUCUUUGCAUGUAAGCAAAUGAAGCUAUGGGCCUUAAUGAAUGGUCCCCAUGGGCAGGGAAAGACCUUUGCAC
rnacentral:lncRNA from 1 species